rnacentral:tRNA from 1 species
GCGCCCGUGGCGAAAUUGGCAGACGCACCAGCUUUAGGAGCUGGCGCCGUAAGGCAUAGAGGUUCAAGUCCUCUCGGGCGCACCA